rnacentral:rRNA from 1 species
GAUUAAGCCAUGCAUGUGUAAGUAUAAAUAUUUAACUUUGAAACUGCGAAUGGCUCAUUAUAUCAGUUAUAGUUUAUUUGAUGAAAAGUACUACUCGGAUAACCGUAGUAAUUCUAGAGCUAAUACAUGAUAAAAUCCUCGACUCUGAAGAGGUGUAUUUAUUAGAAUGAAACCAAUAGACUUCGGUCUGUUUGUGAGUAAUAAUAACUAAUCGUAUCGCAUGCUUAGGUAGCGAUAUGUCUUUCAAGGUUUCUGCCCUAUCAUCUUUGGAUGGUAGUGUAUUG